GACAAACGCUGGCGGCGUGCUUAACACAUGCAAGUCGAACGAUGAAGCCGGAGCUUGCUCCGGUGGAUUAGUGGCGAACGGGUGAGUAACACGUGAGCAAUCUGCCCUUGACUCUGGGAUAACUGCGGGAAACUGUAGCUAAUACCGGAUACGACACCUUGGGGCAUCCCAGGGUGUGGAAAGAAUUUCGGUCAAGGAUGAGCUCGCGGCCUAUCAGCUAGUUGGUGAGGUAAUGGCUCACCAAGGCGACGACGGGUAGACGGCCUGAGCGGGUGACCGGCCACACGGGAACUGAGACACGGUCCAGACUCCUACGGGAGGCAGCAGUGGGGAAUAUUGAACAAUGGGCGAAAGCCUGAUGCAGCAACGCCGCGUGAGGGAUGAAGGCCUUCGGGUUGUAAACCUCUUUUAGCAGGGAAGUAGCGAAAGUGACGGUACCUGCAGAAAAAGCACCGGCUAACUACGUGCCAGCAGCCGCAGUAA
rnacentral:rRNA from 1 species